CGGCGAUUGAUGUACGAUUGCUUGGUUUAACUGCAUAUGCAGCAUAUGCAGUUAAACCAAGCAAUCGUACAUCAAUCGCCGUAC
rnacentral:pre_miRNA from 1 species